GGCGUAGGCGGGGAUGCAAGUCAGAUGUGAAAGCCCGGGGCUCAACCCCGGAACGGCAUUUGAAACUGCAUUUCUAGAGGAUAGGCGGAGAAAACGGAAUUCCACAUGUAGCGGUGAAAUGCGUAGAUAUGUGGAAGAACACCGGUGGCGAAGGCGGUUUUCUAGCUUAGGCCUGACGCUGAGGCCCGGAAGCAAGGGGAGAAC
rnacentral:rRNA from 1 species